AGGGCUUUAGCUUAAUUAAAGUGUUUGAGUUGCAUUCAGAAGAUGUAAGAUAAAAUCUUGCAAGUCCUA
rnacentral:tRNA from 1 species